rnacentral:tRNA from 1 species
UCUUCAUAUGGCCGAGUGGUUAAGGCGUUGGACUCAAAAUUCAAUGGGGUCUCCCCGCACAGGUUCAAAUCCUGUUCACAGCAAGAG